GACGAACGCUGGCGGCGUGCCUAAUACAUGCAAGUCGAACGAGAGCGACCGGUGCUUGCACUGGUCAAUCUAGUGGCGAACGGGUGAGUAACACGUGGGUAACCUGCCCAUCAGAGGGGGAUAACAUUCGGAAACGGGUGCUAAAACCGCAUAGGUCUUCGAACCGCAUGGUUUGAAGAGGAAAAGAGGCGCAAGCUUCUGCUGAUGGAUGGACCCGCGGUGCAUUAGCUAGUUGGUGAGGUAACGGCUCACCAAGGCCGUGAUGCAUAGCCGACCUGAGAGGGUGAUCGGCCACAUUGGGACUGAGACACGGCCCAAACUCCUACGGGAGGCAGCAGUAGGGAAUCUUCCGCAAUGGACGCAAGUCUGACGGAGCAACGCCGCGUGAGUGAAGAAGGUUUUCGGAUCGUAAAACUCUGUUGUUAGAGAAGAAUAAGUGCUAGAGUAACUGUUAGCGCCUUGACGGUAUCUAACCAGAAAGCCACGGCUAACUACGU
rnacentral:rRNA from 1 species